ensembl:lncRNA
UAGUCAAUUUCAGUUUCGUCUAUUUAUACAUCUGUCUCCCUCUCAGUCCCAGGAUGGGACAACCCAUCCCAGCCAUCUUUCCUUCUCCAGUGCUUGAUACAGAGCUGGCACCUGAUACAAACUCAGCUGAUGUUUAUUGAAUGAAUCACUGAAUCACAAUUGGAAUGAGCACCUAUUGAGCACCAACUGUGUACCAGGUUCAUCUUUGGCCAUCCCUUCCUCCAGUGCCGUCUUCCCUCCGUGGACCAUCUCAUCCAUCCUGUGUCUCAGGAGGCAAGAUGACUUCCAGCUUGACAUCACCUACCCCUAUGUCCUUCCUGAGCUUCGGUGACUUAUUUAUGUGGAUAAUUCGCUGGAGAUCCUCACAGUCCCUCCACUGAACAUGGCACCGUUUGACUCUGCCAUCCAUGCUCCCACCCUUUUCCCCGUCUAUCCCUCACUCCCCAUGACCUGCUUCUUUGUCAGUCUUCAUUGUCCCAGCUCCUGCAGACCUAGUUGCCCAAACCAGCAACUGGGUUGACACCUUCUCUCAGCUUGCACCUCUCAUGCUGCCUGUUUACAACCAGCCCUCAUUUAUGUGCCUGUAUGUGGACUAGGAGAUAAACCUGUUUGUAAGAUUGUAAUGUGCUAUACACAUAGGGCAGAAUCAUAAUUAUAACUCGUUGAGCAAGAGAAAAAAAAGACAUCCAUCAGCCGAGCAUUAUUUGAGCCCAUUCCUGUAUCUCUCCCAAAGCGGGAGGAGUACUGAAUAAUCUUUAGUUCCCAUCCACUUAGUAGCUGUAGUAGAUCGUAAAAACAGACACAUGUCUUCCUAUCCCUGUAUUCUUGACCCCUGUGAGGUGAUCUUGCAACUUCUCCCAUCAAAAGGUGAGGCACUUCCCACUCCUUGAAUAUAACUUUGACCAUGUGAUUUGCGUUGACCAGUGAGAGAGUAGUAAAUACCACACAAACAUAGGUUGAAAAACACUUGAACAUUAGUACUUGCCUUUGUGGCUUUUGGAAAUUCUGUGACAGCUGCUGUAUGAAUAAGCCCAGGCUAGUCUACUGGAGACAUAUGUCCCAAUGAUCCCCAUCCCCCCACCAGCAGCCAGCACCAACUGUCUGACACAUGAGUGAGACAAGCCUAAAACAAUCAGUCCUCAGCUGACCUGUCCGUGGACUAUAGCUGCUUGAGUGAGCCCAAGCAAGACCAACAGAAGAACUACCCACAGGAUCUCAAAUCAGGUUGCCAACCCGCAGGAACAUGAGCUAAUAAAUCAUUGUGGUUUUUAAACCAAGUAUUGGGAUGGUUGUUAUACAGCAAACACUAACUAAUACACUAGCUGUGUGAUCUUGAGGAAGUAGCAUUACCUCUCUAGGUCUCAGAUUCUUCAUAAAUAAAAAGGGAUAGCAUCUCCAUCCUGGCCCACAGGACUGUCAUGAGGGUCAGUUGAAAUAUAAUUUUAAAAUCUCUUUCUAAACUGCGAUUAAUUUAUAAGCAGGGUGCUUAUUUUGAUAUAUUUAAUCAGCGUGUGUAUCCACCACUGUUUCAGGCUGUGUUUGCAGACUAUGCAAAGGGUAACUGUUCUUAGGCCCAGGGUCCCCAGAAGCCAUGGCCAGUUUUGAUUUGCUCAGUAAUGCACAUAGUCUGAAGAAAGAGACCCAUUAAUAUGUGAAUAUGGCACUAAUGAUAAGGUUCAGGAUAUCUGAGGUUACUGGACUCCAAGAGCAUGUCGGAACUAUUGGGGACUGUCCAGAAGGAAAGUGGGGUCCACCAUUUUUCAGAGUCCCCAAAGAAAUUUUUUAAAGACUGCCAAGAACCACAAGAGCGAGUGCCAACAUUAAGUGCUUUUCAACUAGUCUCUACCUUUUCAUAGGAGAAGCUGCAAGGUCACGUUACAAAGGGGCGAGAAAACAGGGUUAGGAAAAAUAUGCAUCAAAAUAAAGUUUGAAUGUUAAAUACUAAUAAAUAGCUUAAUACAUUACUUUCAUGUCGACUAUCUCAGCAAUCGUGAGAAAUUGGGUAUUAUCCCCAUUUUAUGAGUCAGGAAAUAAAACUUAGGGCAGAAUAGGAGGGGAGAAGUGGGCACUUGUUUUAAAAGAGCUGACGUAUUUAUUCUGUGUCUAGAUGCAGAGAGUAAAAUGCUCACACCCGCUGAGUGGCAGCAGGACCCACUGCUCCUAGGGGAGUGAGGGGGUCCCAGCUGGACUCCCACACCCCUAACCUCGCUGCCAGGAAGGUCCUGAAUUAGUCAUGAGCACUCUGGCAUCAGACACACUGGUAGAUCUAUUUAAAGCUAAAGAACUUGGGUUGAGCUGAGGACUGCAAAGAUACUUGGCUGGGAAGCUCAGGCACAUCGUGGAGAGGGAAUGUUGGUCGAAGCCACAUCUCGUUCUCUCUGUCAACUCAGCACCUAGCACAGGGCGUGGCGUAGAUGGAGGCACAUGGUGAAUGAGUGCGUAUUGGGAUAACUCCUUCUUCCUUUCACUCAUCAUUUAUCCCUGCAUCGUUUAAGCAGCAUUUUUAUGCACUUCUUAUAUGCCAGGCAGUGACAAUACACAAACACAUAAAACCUAGUGUUAAAGGUUGGAUUGUGUCCCCCUCAAAGAUAUUUUGAAGUCUUAAUCCUCCCCACCUGUAAAUGUGACCUUAUUUGGAAAUAGGGUCUUUGCAGAUAUAAUCAAGUUAAAGUGAGGUCAUCCUGGGUGACCAGUAGGGUGGAGCCUAAUCCAGUGACUGGUGUCUUUAUAAAAGAAAGGAGAGGGGGAUUUGGGCACAGAGACACAGGGAAGAAGGCCACAUGACAACAGAGGCAGAGAUCGGAGUGAUGCACUUACAAACUGAGGAACACCAAGGAUUGUGAACGACCAGAAGCUGGAAGAGGCAAGGAAGGAUCCUCUUCUCGGGCCUGCAGAGGGAGCUGGCCCUGAUACCUUGACUUCAGACUUCGUG